AGAGUUUGAUCCUGGCUCAGGAUGAACGCUGGCGGCAUGCCUAAUACAUGCAAGUCGAACGAGAGGAAGGAAAGCUUGCUUUCCUAAAUCUAGUGGCGAACGGGUGAGUAACACGUAGGUAACCUGCCCAUGUGCCCGGGAUAACUUCUGGAAACGGAUGCUAAAACCGGAUAGGUAGCAGACAAGCAUUUGACUGCUAUUAAAGUGGCUAAGGCCAUGAACAUGGAUGGACCUGCGGUGCAUUAGCUAGUUGGUGAGGUAACGGCCCACCAAGGCGACGAUGCAUAGCCGGCCUGAGAGGGCGGACGGCCACAUUGGGACUGAGACACGGCCCAAACUCCUACGGGAGGCAGCAGUAGGGAAUUUUCGUCAAUGGGGGGAACCCUGAACGAGCAAUGCCGCGUGAGUGAGGAAGGUCUUCGGAUCGUAAAGCUCUGUUGUAAGAGAAAAACGGCACUCAUAGGGAAUGAUGAGUGAGUGAUGGUAUCUUACCAGAAAGUCACGGCUAACUACGUGCCAGCAGCCGCGGU
rnacentral:rRNA from 1 species